rnacentral:rRNA from 1 species
CCUACGGGAGGCAGCAGUGGGGAAUAUUGCACAAUGGGCGAAAGCCUGAUGCAGCGACGCCACGUGAGGGAUGACGGCCUUCGGGUUGUAAACCUCUUUCAGCAGGGAAGCGGUACCUGCAGAAGAAGCGCCGGCUAACUACGUGCCAGCAGCCGCGGUAAUACGUAGGGCGCAAGCGUUGUCCGGAAUUAUUGGGCGUAAAGAGCUCGUAGGCGGUCUGUCGCGUCUGGUGUGAAAUCCCAUGGCUCAACUGUGGGCUUGCAUCGGGUACGGGCAGACUAGAGUGCUGUAGGGGAGACUGGAAUUCCUGGUGUAGCGGUGGAAUGCGCAGAUAUCAGGAGGAACACCGAUGGCGAAGGCAGGUCUCUGGGCAGUACUGACGCUGAGGAGCGAAAGCAUGGGGAGCGAACAGGAUUAGAUACCCUUGUAGUC